AACCCAUGGUUAGGGCACCUUCUCAAUAGAUCUUUGUAUCUCUCCUUUGCAUCAUAAAGUGUUUCUAAAUCCAUCUGCACAAAAGAAGAGAUAUCAUUCCUUAAUUU
rfam:Gossypium hirsutum cultivar TM-1 chromosome 8, whole genome shotgun sequence